rnacentral:lncRNA from 1 species
CAAGAUACCAUUCAUUUUAGCGUGAUGUCUGAAUACAUCUUGCUACUACUUAGCUCCAUAGGGCUUGAUCGUCACAUUUAAAACUCAUAUCACCCACAAUUUUUCAAUUAACAAAGCCUUCUUCCUUCACCUGCCAUGUUCCUUCUCUGUUUUCCAAGCAAAAGUCAAUCAUUCAUUUAUUUAACAGAAUUUGUUGAGUUUUUUUUUUUUAAGAAUAGGUGCCAUACUUUUAUCACCCACAAAUAACCCCACAAACUUGGUAUAAUUGUAUAAAUUGAUUUUACAUUUAAUUCUCACCUUAGCCCAGCAUGAUACUACUGUUUUCUGCCUAUUUCCCAGUUAAGG